GGGGAUGUAAAUGGUUUCGACAGGUACCCAGAAAUAUUUAUAGCGAGUAGUGGAUGGUUGCUUUGGCCACUAUAAAAAAGCAAAUUAAAUAUAAAGGCUAACAAACAAGAAUUAGCUUACGCUGCCUAAGCUGCAGUGUCAUCUUAUCUUAGAGCCUACUGCUAAGAAUAAGGUGUCAGACUAAAGUAGGAAACGAAGCUGUCUAGAAUCCAUCUGGGCAAUGGGUAUUUUUAUGGAUAGGGAUGAAAUGUAUUGUUUAUUUGCACGUUCAUUCAGAAAGAUUAAAAAUAAACUGCACUCGGAGAAGUAGAUAUGGAAAGGUAUUUGGACGCGAGUUCAACUCUCGCCAUCUCCACCA
rnacentral:tmRNA from 1 species